rnacentral:rRNA from 1 species
CAUUACCGAGUUUACAACUCCCAAACCCAAUGUGAACGUUACCAAACUGUUGCCUCGGCGGGGUCACGCCCCGGGUGCGUAAAAGCCCCGGAACCAGGCGCCCGCCGGAGGAACCAACCAAACUCUUUCUGUAGUCCCCUCGCGGACGUAUUUCUUACAGCUCUGAGCAAAAAUUCAAAAUGAAUCAAAACUUUCAACAACGGAUCUCUUGGUUCUGGCAUCGAUGAAGAACGCAGCGAAAUGCGAUAAGUAAUGUGAAUUGCAGAAUUCAGUGAAUCAUCGAAUCUUUGAACGCACAUUGCGCCCGCCAGUAUUCUGGCGGGCAUGCCUGUCCGAGCGUCAUUUCAACCCUCGAACCCCUCCGGGGGGUCGGCGUUGGGGAUCGGGACCCCUCACCGGGUGCCGGCCCUGAAAUACAGUGGCGGUCUCGCCGCAGCCUCUCCUGCGCAGUAGUUUGCACAACUCGCACCGGGAGCGCGGCGCGUCCACGUCCGUAAAACACCCAACUUCUGAAAUGUUGACCUCGGAUCAGGUAGGAAUACCCGCUGAACUUAAGCAUAUCA